CAGCAGCCACGGUAAAACGUAGGGUGCAAGCGUUAAUCGGAAUUACUGGGCGUAAAGCGUGCGCAGGCGGUUAUAUAAGACAGAUGUGAAAUCCCCGGGCUCAACCUGGGAACUGCAUUUGUGACUGUAUAGCUAGAGUACGGCAGAGGGGGAUGGAAUUCCGCGUGUAGCAGUGAAAUGCGUAGAUAUGCGGAGGAACACCGAUGGCGAAGGCAAUCCCCUGGGCCUGUACUGACGCUCAUGCACGAAAGCGUGGGGAGCAAACAGGAUUAGAUACCCCAGUAGUCCCUGUCUCUUAUAA
rnacentral:rRNA from 1 species